GACGAACGCUGGCGGCGUGCUUAACACAUGCAAGUCGAACGGAAAGGCCCUGCUUUUGUGGGGUGCUCGAGUGGCGAACGGGUGAGAAACAUGUGAGUAACCUGACUUUGACUUUGGGAUAACUUCAGGAAACUGGGGCUAAUACCGGAUAGGAGCUCCUGCAGCAUGGUGGGGGUUGGAAAGUUUCGGCGGUUGGGGUUGGACUCGGGGCUUAUCAGCUUGUUGGUGGGGUAGUGGCUUACCUAGGCUUCGACGGGUAGCCGGCCUGAGAGGGUGACCGGACACAUGGGGACUACGAUACGGCCAAGACGCCGACGGGAGGCAUCAGUAGUGAAUAUUACACAAUGGGCGGAAGCCUGAUGCAGCAACGCCGCGUGCGGGAUGACGGCCUUCGGGUUGUAAACCGCUUUCGCCUGUGACGAAGCGGGAGUGACGGUAAUGGGUAAAGAAGCACCGGCUAACUACGUG
rnacentral:rRNA from 1 species